GCCUGGCUGGCUCAGUCGGUGGAGCAUGUGACUCUCAAUCUCGGGGUUGUGAGUUCGACUCCCACAGUGGGUG
rnacentral:tRNA from 1 species